rnacentral:rRNA from 1 species
UACGAAGGGGGCUAGCGUUGCUCGGAAUCACUGGGCGUAAAGGGCGCGUAGGUGGCCUGUUAAGUCGAACGUGAAAUCCCCGGGCUCAACCCGGGAACUGCGUCCGAGACUGGCAGGCUCGAAUCCGGGAGAGGGAUGUGGAAUUCCAGGUGUAGCGGUGAAAUGCGUAGAUAUCUGGAGGAACACCGGUGGCGAAGGCGGCAUCCUGGACCGAGAUUGACGCUGAUGCGCGAAAGCCAGGGGAGCAAAGCGGG